rnacentral:rRNA from 1 species
GAUGAACGCUAGCGGCAGGCUUAACACAUGCAAGUCGAGGGGUAGAGGAAGCUUGCUUCCUUGAGACCGGCGCACGGGUGCGUAACGCGUAUGCAACCUACCUCUUACAGAGGGAUAGCCCAGAGAAAUUUGGAUUAAUACCUCAUGGUAUAUAUCAUUCGCAUGUUUGAUAUAUUAAAGUUCCAACGGUAAAAGAUGGGCAUGCGUCCUAUUAGCUAGAUGGUAAGGUAACGGCUUACCAUGGCAACGAUAGGUAGGGGUCCUGAGAGGGAGAUCCCCCACACUGGUACUGAGACACGGAACAGACUCCUACGGGAGGCAGCAGUGAGGAAUAUUGGACAAUGGGCGCAAGCCUGAUCCAGCCAUGCCGCGUGCAGGAAGAAGCAUCUAUGGUGUGUAAACUGCUUUUGUACGGGAAGAAACACUCCUUCGUGAAGGAGCUUGACGGUACCGUAAGAAUAAGGAUCGGCUAACUCCGUGCCAGCCGCCGCCGUAAGAC